AGUCAGAGUUGUUUUCUGCUGAGCCAUGUGUGGUUCCCAUGGACUUCUGUGUCUAAUGAAGAGGAAGACUACAUUCUGGAAUCUUCCAGGAACAGGUGUAUUUGACCACACACUGGGGGAAGUAAAGACCUGAGUUUUGAGGAAGUCAAGCUGGAGGCCCUCAGAGGUGGUUAUUUAUAUCAGAGUGAUGUGUAUUGAAAGCCAAAGACUUUCAUUCCCCCACCAUCAUGGAACUGAUUUAGAGAAGAGGAAGGGCGUGUAUUUUGCCUUAAAUAUCUGCUGCAAGAACUUCUGGUGUGGGUCAGACUGCUCAUGAUCCAUGCACAGGCUUUAUGGUAGAUGAAAGGGCAUGUCAUCAAUCUUGCUUCAACUACU